UACGUAGGGGGCUAGCGUUGUCCGGAAUCAUUGGGCGUAAAGCGCGUGUAGGCGGCUCGAUAAGUCUGUUGUGAAAGCCCAGGGCUCAACCCUGGAAUGCCGAUGGAUACUGUCGAGCUAGAGUCCGGAAGAGGCGAGUGGAAUUCCUGGUGUAGCGGUGAAAUGCGCAGAUAUCAGGAGGAACACCAAUGGCGAAGGCAGCUCGCUGGGACGGUACUGACGCUGAGACGCGAAAGCGUGGGGAGCGAACAGG
rnacentral:rRNA from 1 species